ensembl:lncRNA
CUCCCUCACUGCGCGCCAGCAGGACUCCACAUCCCAUCAUUUGAGGGUCACUCAUUGUGUUGUUGGAGCAACGGCAGAAAAUGAAAUAAAAUCAGCCAGCAAAUAUCUUCUGGAAAUACUUUGAUUGCAACAUCAUUUCCAAAAAAGUAUUCCAACAAAUACACCGCCUGUGGGCUUGAGAGGUGGUCUCGCCAGUGAUGACUGCGGUUAUCGCAGUGAACAGAGCGAGGCCAUUCAUCAACUGGCUGCGACACGACCACCUCGGAUCGCACGGAGCCCAAUCAAAGGCUGCAUCAGCUGGUUGCGGAUUCAGCUGGAUGUCUGUGGACUGUCUGGAGACCAGCAAGCAACGGAAGGAACUAUGGAAACUGCACCCUGUGGACUCGAAGGACUCGCAACUCUCGCCAAACACGCGAAAUUGAAUAAGAUGCUUGCAGAUGAAUCUGUCAGGUUAGAUACAACAUGGCCCGAGGUGUGAAGAUAAAUACAGUACACUUGUUGUCAAGUACUAAUUCAUGCUUGCUUAAAUGUAUUGAUCUUAGCUGGC